UCCAAAAGAGUUUCAGGUAAAAUUGAAUUGGCACCUUCGACAAUUUAUUUCGCAACUCCUCUAAAUUUGUUGGCCUACUAAAUUCAUGCUUGUAAAUGGUCUGCUUAAGGUAACCCCACAGAUAAAAGUCAUUUGGAGACAAAUCUGGAAAUCUAGGAGGCCAUUUAAUAUCGCCAGUCCCACUAAUAAGGCGGUUAGGAAAAGUAUUUGUUAAAAAUUGUUUUACCCUAGCCGCGUUAUGAGCAAGACAGCCAUCUUGCUGAAAAUAAACCGAUCCCUGGUCUACAUCAGGUAGGAUUUGAAUGGCAGGAAGAACUUGGUUUUGCAGCAACUCAAGGUACUUUUGGGCGGUUAAAGUGCCAUCAAUAAAAAAUGGCCCUAUAACAUUGUCGCCCAAAAUACCUGCCCAAACAUUUAAUUUCUGAGGAUACUGGGUACGAAACUGAAAACUUCUGUGCUCGUUUUCCUGAGAUCAAUAACGAACAAUGGAAGGAUUGCGUUUGCCAUGUAAUGGAAAAGAAGAUUCAUCAGAAAACAAAAUAUUUUUUAAAAAAUAUUCGUUUUCAUUUGCCUUUUCCAUCAUGGUUGCACAAAAUUCCAUUCUUCGCCACUGGUCUUCAGGAAAUAUUUCCUGAGUUUUUGAAUACUUGAAACAUUUGUACCCAUAUUUUUUCCAGAUACGAGCAACAGUUUUAUUGCUCAUUCCCAGUUCCUCUCCAACACUUCUAGUGAACCGUGUCAAUUGAAGUUCUAGGGUACUGCAAACCAUUUCUUUCACCGUUCUAUAACGGCGGGAAGAAAUGGUCAAGUGGUCCAGGAUAUAGAUCCUGGACCACUUCAACAGGUGGUUCUUGACGUUUUGUGUGGCAUUUUUUACAAUCUUGAAGACAAAAAGAUGUCUCAAAAUUUAUAACUACAUUUAAAACCGUUUUAGCACAAGGAAUCGGUCUAUUCUCAAAUGUCACUGAAAACAAAUCUCUACAUUGUACUGCCGAAUUGCCUCCAUAAAACUAUUUAAUUAGUUGAACUCUUUCGGAAGAGGUAUAAACAGCCAUAGUGAAAAAAACACAAAAAUAACGCUCAAAAAUUAUUAAUGCAACGUGCAGUAACACAGCAAAGUGAGGUCUGCUGACUCCCGGUUCAAAAAAUAAAAACGAAAAAUUCCGCCGCUUGCAAGCCGCAACCAAGCGGUGUUACCAUUAUUUUGGGUAAUACGUAGCUCACGAUAACACGAUCUGUAUAUUAUCGUCUUGAUUUGUAUUUUUUUAUGGCGAUGUAAAAUAAAUAAUUUGUUUAUUUUUCAGUCUGUUAAUUUUUGGCAUUUCUGGCACAAUAUUAUGUAAAAUAUCCUAAAGUAAUUUAUUAUAUUUAACGUAUAUUUUAUAAACACCCUGUAUUCAUUUAUAAGUGUCUUAACCGCCCGAGAAUUAUCGUACAUCCUUGAAAAUCUAUACCCUAAACAUAAAUAAUAAUAUAAGCAGAGAUUGAGAGAGACCCAAAGAAGUAAAAGAGUCAGUGAGUGCUAGCACUUCGGCUUAUAAAGAGCCAUGUAUAUAGAGUGGUCAUAGUUGACCAGGUGUGGUGGUGUUUGUCCACAAGGUGGAUAUUUGAAUGGUUGUGAUUGUUUUGUGCACAGGUUAAUCUCUAAAAGGUUUAAUCAUGUCGACAUGUGAGUAAUAUUUUAUAUUGUUGUUGUAUAAGUCCAUGGCUAGAGUUUUAUGGUAUACAGAGUUUGUCGCUGUUUAGCGAGGUUUUACCAGGUUGUGGUCGAUUGUGUAGCAAGUGUUGACUAAAAAUGGUUUUGAUUAAUGGAAAUCAACACAAUUAAACAGAACAUAUUUGUUUGUUCAGAUCACAUCCUUAGAAGUGAUUUCUUAUAUAAGGAAGAUAAUAUUAUCAGUAGCCAGACUUUAUUAAAAAAAUCAGCUCUACCUCAAAGGUAAUUUUUUUUUAAUAUAUUUUUCUAGUAUAAAAAAAUCGUCACAAAAAGGAUUAGUGUUACUCAUAUAAGCUUUAUUUAUACCUAAUACUUAUUAAAUUAGGUAUGUAUGUAAAACCAUUUUUUUACUAGGAUUUCUGAUGCACUGGUUAAAAACAGCAGCCGAUAAUUCAGUUAAUUUACCAAGCGAUUUACCCUUCAAAGCUGCAGGGGUAGCUUUCCUGAAGAGUGCAAAAACUUCUUUAGCUUUCAAAAUGGUAUAUAGUACAAACAGUGAAGCUAAUAUAGACAAAUCUGAUCAUUCAUCAUCAAUACAAUACAACAAUAACUGCAUCUGAGAUUAAUAGUUCUACAGUAACCGUGGGGUCUAGGUCAACAAUUACUAUUUCUCAUCCAAGCCGUUUUUGUUUAACUGCUACACAUUCCCUGACUCUGCCAAGGAAAAGGGUAAAAUCAAAAUGAUAUCCUGACGACCUAAGCACUGAUGAUUCCACCGUUUCAAAAGCUAAAUCACUUGUUACCAAAUUAUGGAAAAAAAAUAAAGAACAAAAAAAUUAAAAUUCGAAGAUUCCAAUAAACAAAUUUGCCCCAAAGAAGUUGAAUUAGAUGUCUCAAGUCAUUAUUAAAAUACUUAAGAAAUAAUAACAUGAUUUUCGAAAAAGCCCAACAUACUGCAUAUUUUAUUUGACUUGUAAAAGUACUUGUUUGUAUAUUACUACUAAUAAACUAUCUAAUCUAAUCUAUUGUACAUAGUCUUUAUUCUU